GGAAAAUAAAAUACUCCGCUAUGCUAAAACAUUAUUCACGUACGUGUUCUCAAAAGAACUAAUUAAGGAGGUGUUCUUGCAAAUUAUACAGAAUUUAUGCUUAGUUUUUCUUCAAUUAAUUUCCUUUUUCUAUCGUUGUUCUCUUGUGCAUUAAAUUAGUGUUCAUAGUUCUUUAUCCACAUGGUCAACCUCUCUUCAUGGAAUCAUGGAUGGGGCGGUGAUAGAUAACCCAUCAUCAUCGCCAUUUCAGUGUAAACAUUGCCUAUAGGUUUGCAGUUGUUAAAGAAAACAACAUAUUACAUCUAGCUUAUUCAUUAUUCAUCAUGAAGUUCUUCCUUUCUAGCUAGCUUAUUCAUUCUAACUUCUCGCGCCGUAGUUACAGGGAAUCCAUACAUCAAAGGGUACAGAUUCCUUCUUGUACUAUUUAUGUUUGCGUCUAGCAUGCAUACUAGUAGAGAAAUUAUGGGCUUCAGUCCUUGUUGGGAUCUGGAUUUUCUCAACCGGGAAUAAUUAGAACAAGUCUCUCGUAUGUGCGAUUCGUAGGACUCAAACCCAAACCUCAUGUAUUGUCUCGCGCUUAGCUUUAUUUUAACUAUAUGGAUAAUAUGUUUUUCUUUUAAACUGACCCAGAAAAGACCCUUGAGUCUCGUUUGAUAAUGUUGGACUAAAGAUCCUCC
rnacentral:lncRNA from 1 species